UCUGAGCUGGUGUAUUUAGGCAUACAAGACUUUCAAUCUUGAGGAGGGGGUGUUGCUUCCUCGCUCAGAA
rnacentral:tRNA from 1 species